UACGGAGGGUGCGAGCGUUGUCCGGAAUCACUGGGCGUAAAGAGCGCGCAGGCGGUUGGAUAAGUCGAAUGUGAAAGCCCCCGGCUUAACUGGGGAGGGUCAUUCGAUACUGUUCAACUUGAAGGCAGGAGAGGGCAGCAUGAAUUCCCGGUGUAGUGGUGAAAUGCGUAGAUAUCGGGAGGAAUACCAGUGGCGAAGGCGGCUGCCUGGCCUGUUCUUGACGCUGAGGCGCGAAAGCUGGGGGAGCAAACGGG
rnacentral:rRNA from 1 species